UUCUACUUUCUUUUCUUUCUUUCUUUCUUUUGAUGUUAUUUCUACCAAGUCCAUCUGCAUGUUUCAUUCUUUUUUCUUUCUUUCUUUCUUUUCUUUUCUGUUAUUUUGACGAGGUCCAUCUGCAUGUAUAUUCACUCUUCUUUCUCAUUCUCCUCCUCCUCCAGCAGUUCUCUCCUAGACUCUCCUCCCUCUCAGACCUCCACAUUAUUCUCACUCCUGCUGCCUCCUUCACACCUUCUCAACCCACACCCUCCUGUUUACCAAGCCACACCCUCCCAUUUACCAAUCCUCACCUCAUCCUCUUUCUUACGUUCCCUCCUCCACACGUCAGCUCACAUCCACUCAUUUACUUUCUUUCACAUCUUUUUUUUUCACGUGCUUAUCAAUCCUCACCUCGCAUUUAUUUUACAGUCCCUUCUUCACACCAUCUCAAUUCACAUCCACCCACUUCCCUGUUCCUCCCUCACCUAUCUCUUACGUUCUCCCACCUCGCCUCCAACAGAUAAUCAGUACCAGGGGAAAAAGUUUGAUCGGGCGCAACAACUGAAGUACAAGAAAGGCCACGACACAAUACAGGACCUGAAGGACAUCCCACGAACCAACCUCACCCUCGUCAAUUACUAGCGUGGUGGCGGGCUCCUCCCCUCACACCGCAGCGGGAUGCCUGGAACACAAGCCCCGCACAGCUCUCCACGCACCGGCUCGUUAGCACCACACUAAACCAACCUUGAACCUGAGCCUGAAAACUGGCCUUCCACUCUUCCCUCUCGCAACAUUUUAUUUCUUCCUAUCAUUUGUUCAUCCCUUUCAUUCUCCCACUCUGCUCUUCUUCGCUCUUCCGUGUUCUUUUAAAUCUUGACAUUUGAGUUCCUCUUGUCUGCUCGAGUGAAGCGAAUGGGGCUUUGCUUCGUUCAGAGUUCAAGCACUAUAGGGUUGUACCACUGCCAACAAAAUCUUUUUCGCCGUGCUUUUAUCAAGAGAUCUCAAAUUUUCCGUGGUAUUAUUAAUUUCAACUUAGGCUCCAGCACACUUGAACGCUGUAUGGUUUGAAUGCUAGACAAAUGUUGCUAUCUAUCUAGUUGCUUGCGUCUAUAGUUUUCAAUCAGCAGGAAGCAGAAAGCGAAGGUGGAUGAGUGAAAAGUGAGAAAAGAUAUCUUUCCUUUGAUCACAACGACUUGAUAUGUUUUCUUCCCCAAAUCGUCUUCAGUUACACAAGACCUCUAACCGAACCCUACAAACACUGACCAAACAUACAGCCAAUUAAACAAAAAAAAAAAAAAAAAAAAACGGAAAAGCAGCGUUUCAGCACGUCCUGAGAGCAAGACAGAUCCUGGAGGGCUGGACUCGACUGUACUCAGCUCUCUGGACGUCUCUUACUCCUCAACAAAGCGAGGCGAGGCGAGGCGACCGGCGGGGCUCAUAUACCCGAACCCGCCAUUCAGUGGAAAGCCUCCUGAUCCGCUCUGAUCACCGCACGCACUUGCACCGGCCAAGGCAAAACAAUAAAAGGAAGCAAAAGAAGUCGAUGCUGCUGCUAAACUCAGGAUAAAACUGACCGCACAGGUAUAUCUUCUUCUUUACUUCCCACGACCUGCACACAUUUCUAAAAGGCAAGGCAAGGGAAGCUGAACUGAAGCGAAAGGAUGAAAAUAAGUAAAGGGAGAAGAGUGUAUGUUAUUAUUUUUUUUUUUCCGAGAUGUACUUUUCGUUAUUAUUUUCUUCCUUAG